UACCUUACCUUACUGGUGAGCUUCAGU
rnacentral:piRNA from 1 species